GGAAGUGGCAUGAAGCUUUUAACAAGCGACUCCAGUUUAGCCGAAUGUGCUAUCGCUGUACUUUUCAGACUGAUUUUUAUUUUACUUUUAUUUGAAAUGACCACACAUCGCCACUGUUAUUAACUGUGACACUUCAACUGACGCUACAUUAGCAGACAAAUGGAGAGAGAUUCCGCCGGUACCGGAGAAAAGAACGUCGCAGUGUCUCUCAAGAGGCGAAAUAUGAAUGAAGACAUGUCGUCUGACGCUAAUUCACAAACUUCCCAUGAUGGUGUUACUACAGAUGUCGCCCGAGCCAGAUGGACUCUACUUAGACAGGUUUUGUGCCAGAAGCAGGUGGACAAUCCAGAAGUCAAACAGGUGUCUGUGCGCAGGUUUGCAUCCUUUGACCUUUUCAGCAGGAAAAGACUGGCCUCACAGGAACCCUCCGAGGAGCAGUGGGUGGAGUACAGAAGUAUCUACUUUCCAGAGUACAGUGCCUUUCUCAGGGACAACAUGGGUCCUCUACGAGUUAACGAAGUGCUCACCAGCUUUGACAACACGGGGAAUGUCUGUGUGUGGCCCUCAGAGGAGGCCAUGGCUCAUUACUGUCUGCACAACCGUCACAUGUUCAAGGGCGCCAUCUGUGAGUUAGGAGGAGGCAUGACUUGUCUUGCCGGACUCAUGGUUGCCGUUUGUGCUGACGUGAAGGAAGUUCUGCUAUCAGAUGGGAAUGAGAAGUCUAUUCAGAAUGUGCGCGGGAUUGUCGAGAGGAACAAGCAAGCCGGGGUGUUUGGGUCAACGCACGUAUCUACCAGGGUGCUGAGGUGGGACUGUGAGCUGGACAUGUCAUCAUUAGAAGCCCAUUUUGACAUUGUCAUGUGUGCGGACUGUUUGUUUCUUGACCAGUACAGAGGCAGCCUGGUUGAUGCUAUAAGGAGAUUACUGCAGCCCAAUGUAGGGCGUGGCCUUGGUGUUUGCCCCACUGCGAGGUGACACCCUGCAGACGUUCUGUCAGCUGGCCCAGCAGGCUGGACUCUUGGUGUCUCAGCACCAGCAGUAUGAUGCUCAGGUGUGGGAUGUACAUCUCAAGAUGCUGCAGGAAGGCAAAGAUGCAUACGACGAGAACAUCCACUACCCUGUGCUCAUCACGCUCACCAAAGGACCUCAAGCGCAGUAAAAACAUCAUCCAAUGUGGCCUCCUCAGCCGUACACACGGUGAGGAGGGUGACAGCAGUGGGUGGCAUCUUUUCAACACUGUGAUCCACUAGUGGUCCAUAUCAGUCACUACACUAGCACAUUGUGGGACGAUCUUCUGCAUACACGUGCGGCCUGUUAUGAAUAACCCAGUCAUAUUUAAUAACUGUAUUGUUUUGAAAUAAGGAACAUUUUCCAGCGUUUGUAUGUACUUGGGCAUGGCUGCAAGUACACGAUUUGACCACUGUGUCACCUGCCUAUGCUGUACAUCCGUGUGUGUUUAGCCCUUUACUCAUCACUGUCCAAACUCUUCAUCCUGUCCUCCUCCCAUUGCCUCAUCAGCCAUUUUCCAGUUUUCCUGUCAGCUGGAGCUCCCUGCUAAGAACAUAUGAGGUGACGUCUCCAUGGAAACUCUGCGUCACUUUGCCACUUGCCCCUUUUAGCCUCAGCGCUAGUUUAGUUUCCCGUCAUUGUUGUGCCUUAUGUGUCACAGAGGUUGCACUAUAACCCCCCCAACAGGAAGCCCAACAGAGAUGAAGCACGUUGACAAGUUCAGGGAACACGGGGUCAUAUGUGUAGACUUGAUAGUACAGUACAGUUGGUAAAAUAAUACAUUAACAUGAAAUAAAAUCACAAAACGUGAGACAAAAAAACCCACACGGGAAUGCCCCACUCAGUGAUCCGUUUUUGGUGACUUUAGUGAUCAAGAUGCAGAGUAAAAAUGGCAUUUAUCGGGGCGGCAUGGCUCAGGUGAUAGAGUGGUCAUCUCUCAACCUGAAGAUUGCAGGUUCGAUCCUCCGUCUUCUCGUGAUCGUGUCGAAGUGUCCUUGGGCAAGAUACUGAACCCCCAGUUGCUCCUGAUGCUGCGCCAUCAGUGGGUAAAUGUGCUGGCAGUGUUGAAGUGCUUUGAGUGCCUUGGAGGUGGAAAAGCGCUGUACAAGUGAAAGACCGUUCACCAUUUAUUUCUAUCAGUGCAUGUUAAGAAUAAGUUGACCUAAAAUGUUGACAAGUUAAUAAUUUGACAUGAGAACGCAUGAUCGUCAAGCGGAUUGCAGUGAUGCAGACUCCGCAUCGAUCCGAGCUGAGCAGAAAGGCAAAGCUCUCAAUUUACCGGUCGAUGCACGUUCCCACCCUCACCUGUGGUCAUGAGCUGUGGGUAGUGACUGACAGGACUAGAUUGCGGAUACGAGCGUCGGAAAAAAGUUUUCUCUGUAGGGUGGCUGGGCUCUUCCUUAGAGAUGAGGUGAGAAGCGCUGUCAUCCGGAAGAAACUCGGAGUAGAACCGCUACUGCUCCGCAUUGAGAGGAGCCAGACGAGGUGACUCGGGCCUCUGGUCAAGAUGCCUCCCGGUCAGGGCACAUCUGACCGGUAGGGGGCCUCAGGGAAGACCCAGGACACGUUGGACUGACUACAUCUAUCAGCUGGCCUGGGAACACCUCGGGAUCCACCUUGAGGAGCUCGACAAAGUAGCCAGGGAGAGGCAAGUCUGGGCUUCCCUACUUCGGAUAGGCAGAAGAUGGAUGGAUGGAUGGAUGGAUUAUUUUUACGGAUGUUCGAUAAUAUCGGCCCACCAAUAUUAUUGGCCUGAUAAUGACAUAAAAAGGUCAUAUCGGUUGAUAUCUGUAUUGGGUUUUUCCCUAUAAAUAAAACUGCUGUAUAUAUAGGCCUAUGGGCUCCCGUACUUGUUGUCAUAAGGAAAAAAUAUAUAAGUCACAGUGGACUAGCUCACAUUUAUGUGGACUUUUACUUUUUUUCAAUUCAAGACCAAGAACAAACAUGUUCAUGUCAGUCAGGAUGAAUUAACAUUUAAAACCAUUUUAAAUUGUAUGUUCAGUCAUGUCCACAAAUAUCGGCGUGCCAAAGAUGCCUUUAUGGAACACAAGCAGAUCAGCCCAGUCUAUACAGCCAUGGCCAAAGACGUAUAUUUGGACCAUGACCGCACAUACUCAUAUAAAGUCGCGCCUGACUAAAAGUCGCAGGACCAGCCAAACUAUGAAAAAUGUCCAAAUUAUAGUCUGGAAAAUACGCAAUAUGUUUUUUAGAACUUUCAGUAUGACAGCACUUCCUUUGGCAAAAAGAAGAAAAAAGAUCAUCUCCCUCCUGUUUCUUCUAAAUGAGGACCUAACACUUCACUGUGAUGCCUCGCCUGCCACAAUGUUAGGUACACCUGCACAAUCAAUAACGCUCAAAAGUGACAUUAUUACCUUGGCAAAGAAUACAUAAAUCGUGUUGGCUCUUAAUGGAGUUCGCAGGUGUGCCUGAAGAAGUGUCCUGUGAGUGUAUGUUCCUCACUGCAGCAAUGACGGGACGGUCCAUCGCAAUCUUUGUGCUGUGAAAGUGGACCAGCGCUUACUGUGACAAAUCUCUGGCGCCGCUGCUGCUCUGUCGCUGCGACGCAGCUCCCGCAUCCGCCAUCUUGCUUUGACUCCGUCCACUGUGAGACCCACCGUAACAAUAAAACAUCAUGGCGUGCCUCGUAAAUAGGAGGCGUAAGAUGAUGUAGUCCGGCAGCGUAACGUCAUGUGUAGUGAUAACUGCAAGGUCCACCAUCGGCUUUGUUGUUCUAAUGAGCUUUUAAUGAGCUUGGUGAGUAUCUGGAUAAAUGUGCGGAUACAGGAAAGCACAUUAUUAGUAUCAACUCCACUCUUUGCUCUUUUUCCCCCAUUUUGGCUGUUGUUUUUUGAAAAUGUUUCAAACAUUUCAACUUUCUUCUUAUAUAAUCUUCGUAAAUUUUCUUUUCGUAAUAUUACGACUUUACUCUCGUAAGGUUUUGACUUUAUUCUCAUAUUGUAGCUUUUUCCCCAGCUUAAUAUUCCAAAAAUGACAACUGCAUUUUGUUUUGCCUCUCGUGAUAUGACGACUUUUUAAAAAAUAACACUUUUUCUUGAAUAUUUCAUCUCUAUGCUACUGUAAUGACAAUAUUUUUCCUCAUAAUAUUACGAGUUUAUUGUCAUAAAACUGCAACCUUUUUUCUCUUCAGAAUACAACUUUUUAAACUUUAUUCUAAAUUGCAGCUUUGCUGUUAUUUUUUUUAAUUUUCCAACUAUUUCAAUUUUCUUUGUAAAUUUUGUUCUCGUAAUUAUGCCCAUAAUAUUUUGACUUUAUUCGUGUUACGUUACCUGAUUUUCCUAACUUUAUUCGUUGUUUUGUUUCUCAAAAUAUAACAACUUUAAGAAAAAAACCCGCACCAUUUUUCUUUAAUAUUUCAGCUUCAUGCUAAUGUUAUUUUUCCUCAUAAUAUUGCAACCUUAUUCUUGCAAAAUUACGACUUUUUCUUGUUAGACCACAACUUUUUUGCUUAAUAUUUUGACUUUAUUCUUGUAAAAAUUACUGCUGAUUUGGAUUGAUUAGCUUUCUUGUUAAAUUCUGUUUUUAGAAUGUGCUGAGGGCCAAUAAAAAAAACAGCCGUGGGCCCCGCUUUAGACACCCCUGCAGUGUAAGGUCUUUCUAGCAUUGCAGCACAUCCAAUGGAGGACUUUUGCACAGUGCUUUGUUUAAGCUGUAGACUGUUAUAUUUAGUUUUUGGGCCAUUUGGAGCCUCCUUUUCACGCGUGGCACCAUCCAUUUAUCCAGUCAUUCAUCCAUUCAUCCAGUUAUUCACUCACUCAGGGUAAAGUUGAAGCUGCUUUUCCAGCCUUUCACUGUGCCAACACACCAAGAGGAUAUUCAUUUUGUGUUGCAGUCCCCACGUGACGGCCUUUUCUGCCCGCAACGUUUAGCCACUUCUGGAUUAUUGGUGUUGCGUUUGUGUGUAUCAUUUAUGGAUUUACGUAUGCAAGCAUUAUUUCAGCAGAAUUCAGUGGAACCUGUAAAGUCAAACACGCCCCUUGACCUUUCAGAAUGUCCUGAAAAAAUAAGAAGUUUUUGUGUUUGUGUUAAAAAAAGGUUUUGUGACGGUGAUAUUUCCGCUCUCAUUCUAAAUCGUGUUAUCGCUACCAUAUGAAAGUUGCUCAACUUCUUUUUACACUCGUGUGACGCCUGUGCCUGUUAGUAAAUGACAAGCGUGAGGCUCGCUAACGCAAAUCACCUUUGUGUUACACCUGCGGAGCUGCCGGAGGUUUCAUUGCAUCCUGACGUUUUUUACGCGUGUAUGAUUUAAAUAGAGGGUUUGUGGUGUGUUCAUGACCGCGAAUGUGGAGCAAAUUCCAGAUGUAAAGUCAUCCAACGUUACCAUGUCAGAGUCGCUUAACUUCUUUUUACACAACGAAAUGUCGCCAUAACGCUAAAAUGUCACUCAAAACGGUAAAUAAAGGUUUUAUGGUGGCCACCGUUUGACCCUGGAACUGAUCAUUGGUAUUCCCGUCAUGUCCUGUGGGAACAGUUCCGUAUCCCAGCAGAUUCGGAAGGUGUCCAGCGUUCGCGUAUCAAAGUUGGGCAACUUCUUUUUAACCUUGUGUGAUGAUUCAGAAUGUUUAGAAGGUAAGUGGGAGGCUCACUGAUCUUCAAUCUUCCGCUGUGCUGUUUUUACAUUUUAAUGUCAACGGCGGGUUAGCUUCUGUCGUUCCGAGGCUGAACGGACUAGAGACGUGUUCGUGAGCGCGAGAUGCAUACUGUAAUCUAUGUGGUGUUGGAAUUGCACUGCUGUUGAUGCGUUCAGGUCACAAUAAAGUCAUAAAAGAGCGUCAGACUCUGUGGGGAGCUACACUGCGCCGCCUGCUGUCGUGGUCACAGAGAGGCGUGGCCUGCCGUGAUGCGUAUGCGUUAAUUGCGCUAAAAAAUGAAAUCAUGAUUAACGAAAUGAAUUAGUUACCCCCGUUAUCGCACUAUUUUUGACAGCUCUAAAAUAAACAAAAGCAUUACUAUGAUGGCAACAGGUUGGCCCUGGAUGGGAUUAUUUAUAUUUCCUUUAUUUCCUGUGGGAAAUUUUCUAAAUCCCCCAAAAAUUGUAUACAAGUGUAAAAAGAAGCACCUCAUAAGAGAUUUAGUUCGACCUUAACGGUUCCACUGUGUUCUGAGUAUCCACAUGCGUGUGAACACGGCCUCUUGCAGCGGAUGCGUUCAUGCUGUUUUACCUCGCUCUUCAUACGCUUUUUGUCAUUGUUUUCCGGUCAAUAAAAAUAAAUCCCAACAUA